AGUGAACGCUGGCGGUAGGCCUAACACAUGCAAGUCGAACGGCAGCACAGUAAGAGCUUGCUCUUACGGGUGGCGAGUGGCGGACGGGUGAGGAAUACAUCGGAAUCUACUUUUUCGUGGGGGAUAACGUAGGGAAACUUACGCUAAUACCGCAUACGUCCUACGGGUGAAAGCAGGGGAUCUUCGGACCUUGCGCGAUUGAAUGAGCCGAUGUCGGAUUAGCUAGUUGGCUGGGUAAAGGCCCACCAAGGCGACGAUCCGUAGCUGGUCUGAGAGGAUGAUCGGCCACACUGGAACUGAGACACGGUCCAGACUCCUACGGGAGGCAGCAGUGGGGAAUAUUGGACAAUGGGCGCAAGCCUGAUCCAGCCAUGCCGCGUGGGUGAAGAAGGCCUUCGGGUUGUAAAGCCCUUUUGUUGGGAAAGAAAAGCAGCAGGUUAAUACCCCGCUGUUCUGACGGUACCCAAAGAAUAAGCACCGGCUAACUUCGUG
rnacentral:rRNA from 1 species